rnacentral:rRNA from 1 species
AGCCAUGCAUGUCUAAGUACAUACCUUUGCACGGUGAAACCGCGAAUGGCUCAUUAAAUCAGUUAUGGUUCCUUAGAUCGUUUUUUUACAUGGAUAACUGUGGUAAUUCURAAGCUAAUACAUGCAAAAAGCUCCGACCGUAUGGGAAGAGCGCUUUUAUUAGAUCAAAACCAAUGGGGUCGCAAGAUCCCUUUUAUUGGUGACUCUGGAUAACUUUGUGCUGAUCGCAUGGCCUAGAGCCGGCRACGUAUCUUUCAAGUGUCUGCCCUAUCAACUUUCGAUGGUAAGCGAUUUGCCUACCAUGGUUGUAACGGGUAACGGGGAAUCAGGGUUCGAUUCCGGARAGGGAGCAUGARAAACGGCUACCACAUCUACSGAAGGCAGCAGGCGCGCAAAUUACCCACUCCUAGAACGGGGAGGUAGUGACGAAAAAUAACAAUACCGGACUCUAUGAGGCUCGGUAAUUGAAAUGAGUACAGUUUAAAACCCUUAACGAGGAUCUAUUGGAGGGCAAGUCUGGU